rnacentral:lncRNA from 1 species
UUCAAUCUUUGUUCUCCAGCAGCCAACCCACUUGCAAAGAGUAUUUCCAAGGCUUGUUAUUCACAUGCAAGAUCCCGGCAACACUACAGAACUCAGUGAAGAUGUGAAUGGUAUGGAAUCACUUCCCCAGCAGACUGAUCCUGCCUCCAUAAACUUGCCAUUAAAGGUUGGACUAAUAGAGAAGAGCCUGAGAACAGCUGCAAAUGCAUGUCUGUACUUGGGAAGACAAGCGGUCCUUGCAGGUUUCUCACGGAGCUGUGCAGCACUGGUGCUGAUUGUUAACACACCAGCUCAGUACUUUGUAUCUAAGACUAGCUCUAGACAGUGUUUUAUAUUUGCAGUGUUACACAUCACAGAAGUGGAUCCCAAUGAUUCUUUGCUCAGCAGUCCUGUUUCUCCACCUCAGUGAUAACCAAUGGACUUCACUCAGCAGAAGUUGUCCCUUUGGAUAUCUUCAGCUUAGACCAUUUCUGGCUGGUCUACAGUGCUGCCUUUGUAGUUAAAUACAAAUACUACAAAUGAGGAGGAUUUGGCUAGAUUUUACUCUUUGUAGCAGGGAUGGUCAAGAAAACCACUGCCCUGUCUUACAGUGGUGGCUUGGGUGACUACUUGGCUGCCUUCAAUUGGCAGCAGCAUUCAUCCCAGUUCUUCAAGCUCAGUUUCUUAAGGAGAACUGUAGGAUUCAAUCCAAAUUGAAAAUGAGUCUUCCACACUUCAGUCUGAGGAACAAAUUCUAGUGUCUGAGCCAUUUCUCUGGCUCCAGUCACAGGGAACGUUUCCAAGUACCCUACACAGCCCAAUACGUGCUCCCCUUGCAGACCACACGUGACUCAGCAACACAGGUUUGCCAUCCCUGUUACAUUUCCACUCUGUCACAAAGAGGCCAAAAGUUACCCUUAGAUGGAUGAAGCUAAAUGUCAUACUAAACUAUAGAAAUACAUUCAAAGACAUUUCUAAAACUUCUUCUUUAUGAAAUGCUGUUAAGGCAAGGUCUGAAUUACUGCAUCCAUUUUUGAUAGCCCACUUGAAGUAAGAGAUCUAGAGAACAGCAGGUUAUGAUCAAAGGAAUGGGGGAGAUUUAAUCUGGAAAGGAGAAGGCAGAGGGAAAACUGUAAGCUUCAUGUACAUAAAAUGCUACUGUAAAGCAGGGAACUCUUCCCAAUGCCUGUUGCAAUAGAACAGAAUUAAUGGCUUUGAUUGCACAAGGGAGAAGUGAAUUUGACGUAAUGAAAGCUUUCUAGUGGGAAGGUUAGUUUAGCACUCAAUGACUGCAUGUGGAAAAUGUGGAAUCUCCAUCUGUGGAGGUUUUUAAGAAGAGAUUGGACAAUUAUCUGGUCAGAACAGUUAAGGGGAGUGGAUUCAAGAAGCUCUCACAGCAUCUAUUUAUCCUAUAUUUACAGUCCUAGAAA